rnacentral:rRNA from 1 species
AUGACUGCCCUAUGGUGUAACUUCUUUUAUAUGGGAUAAAGUAUCACGUGUGGGAUUUGUAUGUACCAUAUGAUAAGGAUCGGCUAACUCCGUGCCAGCAGCCGCGGUAAUACGGAGGAUCCGAGCGUUNUCCGGAUUUAUNGGGUUUAAAGGGAGCGUAGGUGGAUUGUUAAGUCAGUUGUGAAAGNNGCGGCUCAACCGUAAAAUUGCAGUUGAAACUGGCAGUCUUGAGUACAGUAGAGGUGGGCGGAAUUCGUGGUGUAGCGGUGAAAUGCUUAGAUAUCACGAAGAACUCCGAUUGCGAAGGCAGCUCACUAGACUGCAACUGACACUGAUGCUCGAAAGUGUGGGUAUCAAACAGGAUUAGAUACCCUGGUAGUCCACACAGUAAACGAUGAAUACUCGCUGUUUGCGAUAUACAGUAAGCGGCCAAGCGAAAGCAUUAAGUAUUCCACCUGGGGAGUACGCCGGCAACGGUGAAACUCAAAGGAAUUGACGGGGGCCCGCACAAGCGGAGGAACAUGUGGUUUAAUUCGAUGAUACGCGAGGAACCUUACCCGGGCUUAAAUUGCAAAUGAAUAAUCUGGAAACAGGUUAGCCGCAAGGCAUUUGUGAAGGUGCUGCAUGGUUGUCGUCAGCUCGUGCCGUGAGGUGUCGGCUUAAGUGCCAUAACGAGCGCAACCCUUAUCUUUAGUUACUAACAGGUGAUGCUGAGGACUCUAGAGAGACUGCCGUCGUAAGAUGUGAGGAAGGUGGGGAUGACGUCAAAUCAGCACGGCCCUUACGUCCGGGGCUACACACGUGUUACAAUGGGGGGUACAGAAGGCAGCUACCUGGUGACAGGAUGCUAAUCCCAAAAACCUCUCUCAGUUCGGAUCGAAGUCUGCAACCCGACUUCGUGAAGCUGGAUUCGCUAGUAAUCGCGCAUCAGCCAUGGCGCGGUGAAUACGUUCCCGGGCCUUGUACACACCGCCCGUCAAGCCAUGAAAGCCGGGGGUACCUGAAGUACGUAACCGCAAGGAGCGUCCUAGGGUAAAACUGGUAAUUGGGGCU